UGGGGAGGCUUGGAGUGGGGCCUCAUGGCGGAAGGUGGCAGGACCCAGCCCCCUCCCCGGCCUGCAAAUGACCCAGGGGACUGCAGCCUGGGCGUCUCGGCCUUCUUUGCUCUUCCUUUCCUCCAGGUCGCCUGUUCUGAUCCGAUCUGGCCCACGCCCUCUAGAGAGGGCGCUCCCCACCCGGGGCAGUGGCAGCCUUCCUGUGGGGACAGGCCCCGGCCCAUCCCUCCUGCGGAGCCACCUGCACUGGCCGCUGCGCAGACCCCGGCCUUGCCCCAUGCCCUCUAGAAAUCCUCCAAGUCACUGCGGCCUCUGUGCCAGGGCUGAGGACAGGUGCCCAGGUUCUGGGUGUGCUGCCCUGGUUAAAGCUCCUCUCGUGCUUCCCACGGUGACCGUUCUGCUCGGCUUUGGGAGCAGUGGCCAGACCUGAUUUGUCGUGACAGAGGCAGGUGAGGACAGAGCCUGGGGCUGCGGCCGGUUCCUGACACCCCACGUGUGCAAAGGCUCUGGCUCCUGUGGGAGGUGCUUGGUGGGUGAGGAGGUGCAGGUAGGGUGCGGAGGGUUUCCCCAGUGCGGGCAGGACUGGAAGAGGCCAGCGGGCAGGGGCCAGGCCUGUGAGGACAUGAGGGCCAGGGCCCAAGGCAACGAGUGGGGCAGUGAUGACUGGUCCUGCCUGCGCCCUCCCCGCCCCACAGCACACGCACCCGGGUUGCCAACGUGGAAAGCCUUCUGGAAAUAUGCUCAGAGAUACCCAGUCCCUCCUCCAGAGUGAUUCACUCCUAGGUGGCGCCAGGACCAGUCACCCACCACCCUGGGCAGAGGGCCAUUUCCACGCCUCUGCUGAGCAUGAGAACUAAUUGUCCUGUGUGGCCUCCCACCACCUGCUCAGGCCAGGCCCGCCUUUCCCUCUUCCUCCUUCUCAGGUGAGGAGAGGUGCCCAUCACGCCUAGGCCACAGGGUGGUCUCCUCCUCAGCAGGGCACGGGUGUGGCUCCAGCAGCCACUCCAGGAAGUGCUGAGUGUCCGAGUGAGCCCUGGGCUUCAGCCUGCCUCCUGCAGGGGCCCUGGCAUGGGCAGUAGAGCCGUGGGAGCCGCGGGUUGGAGCCCAUCUGUCUCCUCAGUCUGCUGGGCGCUGCCCUCGACUUGUGAAUCCGCAUGAUUCCCAGUCCCCACGCGGUCUCACACACAGCCCGCAGCUCCUUGGGGGGCGUGUGCCCCUCUGUGUUCCUGGCAGGCCUGCGGCCUUCACCGGGCUUCCCUGCCCACCAGAGGGGUGGCACUCUGCUGGCCGUGCUGGUCCCGCCCCCAUUUCCUAGGGUGAGGCAGGGGUGCGCCUGCCCCUGCGUCCUGCUGCCUGGGCACGGAGCGAGGGCGGAGCCGGGCAGAGAGAGGAGCCGGGUGGCGGCUGGAGGUCCUGGUCUGUGCGUGGUCAUGGAGGGUGG
rnacentral:lncRNA from 1 species